GGCUCAAGCUAUGAUCUCAGGGUUGUGAGAUGGAGGUCCCCAUGGGGCUCCACAUUUAGUGGGAGUCUGCUUGAGAUUCUCUCUCUCCCUCUUUCUGCCCCUC